UGGGGAAUUUUGGACAAUGGGCGAAAGCCUGAUCCAGCAAUGCCGCGUGUGUGAAGAAGGCCUUCGGGUUGUAAAGCACUUUUGUCCGGAAAGAAAUCCUUGGCUCUAAUACAGUCGGGGGAUGACGGUACCGGAAGAAUAAGCACCGGCUAACUACGUGCCAGCAGCCGCGGUAAUACGUAGGGUGCAAGCGUUAAUCGGAAUUACUGGGCGUAAAGUGUGCGCAGGCGGUUUGCUAAGACCGAUGUGAAAUCCCGGGCUCAACCUGGGAACUGCAUUGGUGACUGGCAGGCUAGAGUAUGGCAGAGGGGGGUAGAAUUCCACGUGUAGCAGUGAAAUGCGUAGAGAUGUGGAGGAAUACCGAUGGCGAAGGCAGCCCCUGGGCCAAUACUGACGCUCAUGCACGAAAGCGUGGGGGAGCAAAACAGGUUAGAUACCCUGGUAGUCCACGCCCUAAACGAUGUCAACUAGUUGUUGGGGAUUCAUUUCCUUAGUAACGUAGCUAACGCGUGAAGUUGACCGCC
rnacentral:rRNA from 1 species